GACGAACGCUGGAGGCGUGCUUAACACAUGCAAGUCGAACGAUGAAAUGGAGCUUGCUCCAUGGAUUAGUGGCGAACGGGUGAGUAACACGUGAAUAACCUGCCCUUAAUUUUGGAAUAACCCAGGGAAACCUGGGCUAAUACCGGAUAAGUAAACCUGUGGCAUCACAUGGUUUUGGAAAGUUUUUCGAUUAAGGAUGGAUUCGCUGCCUAUCAGCUGGUUGGUGAGGUAAUGGCUCACCAAGGCGACGACGGGUAGCCGGCCUGAGAGGGUGAACGGCCACACUGGGACUGGGACACGGCCCAGACUCCUACGGGAGGCAGCAGUGGGGAAUAUUGCGCAAUGGACGAAAGUCUGACGCAGCGACGCCUCGUGAGGGACGAGGGUCUUCGGAUUGUAAACCUCUUUCAGCAGGGACGAAGCGAAAGUGACGGUACCUGCAGAAGAAGCACCGGCUAACUAUGUGCCAGCCGCCGCCGUAA
rnacentral:rRNA from 1 species